AGAGUUUGAUCCUGGCUCAGAACGAACGCUUGGCGGCAGGCUUAACACAUGCAAGUCGAACGAGAAGCAGGAGCUUGCUCCUGUGGAAAGUGGCAGACGGGUGAGUAACGCGUGGCAACCUACCUUUUUCUACGGAACAACAGUUAGAAAUGACUGCUAAUACCGUAUAAGCCCUCCGGGGGAAAGAUUUAUCGGUGAAAGAUGGGGCCGCGUUAGAUUAGCUAGUUGGUGGGGUAAUGGCUCACCAAGGCGACGAUCUAUAGCUGGUCUGAGAGGAUGAUCAGCCACACUGGGACUGAGACACGGCCCAGACUCCUACGGGAGGCAGCAGUGGGGAAUAUUGGACAAUGGGCGAAAGCCUGAUCCAGCCAUGCCCCGUGGAUGAAAAAGGCCCUAGGGUUGUAAAGCCCUUUCGCUUAGGGAGAUAAUGACGGUUCCUAGACAAGAAGCCCCG
rnacentral:rRNA from 1 species